CACAUCAUUGUACUAUAUCUUCCAUUACCACCAUAGCCCUUUUCUCUGUCACGCAAAGAAUUCACAUUCAUUCAUUCAUUCAUCUUCCCCCAUCCAUCUCCAUCACACAUCCUUUUCCUCUUCCACCCAACCCUACUUCCCGCACUUUCCCAAUUUCACUCGAUCCACUCUUCACAACCUUCUUCUUCUUCUCAAUCAUCAAUCAUCAAUCUUCAACUAUACUUUUACUCAAUUUUCUCUAGUUGACUUGGCUAUGUUAAUUUCACUCAAUUUUAGAGCUUUUUCUUGA